rnacentral:tRNA from 1 species
UCCCCCGUGGCGCAAUUGGCUAGCGCGUCUGACUGUUACGCAUCGGCAAUCAGGAGGUUGGUGGUUCAAGCCCACCCGGAGGAG